rnacentral:rRNA from 1 species
GAUGAACGCUAGCUACAGGCUUAACACAUGCAAGUCGAGGGGCAGCAUGGUCUUAGCUUGCUAAGGCCGAUGGCGACCGGCGCACGGGUGAGUAACACGUAUCCAACCUGCCGUCUACUCUUGGACAGCCUUCUGAAAGGAAGAUUAAUACAAGAUGGCAUCAUGAGUCCGCAUGUUCACAUGAUUAAAGGUAUUCCGGUAGACGAUGGGGAUGCGUUCCAUUAGAUAGUAGGCGGGGUAACGGCCCACCUAGUCUUCGAUGGAUAGGGGUUCUGAGAGGAAGGUCCCCCACAUUGGAACUGAGACACGGUCCAAACUCCUACGGGAGGCAGCAGUGAGGAAUAUUGGUCAAUGGACGAGAGUCUGAACCAGCCAAGUAGCGUGAAGGAUGAAGGUCCUACGGAUUGUAAACUUCUUUUAUAAGGGAUAAAGUCGGGUAUGGAUACCCGUUUGCAUGUACUUUAUGAAUAAGGAUCGGCUAACUCCGUGCCAG